CUCUCUCUAUAUAUAUAUAAAAUCCUUCUCUCCUCUUUGUUUUCAUUGUAUUUCCUAAAGUUUUGCAGUUUGCAAAAGCAUGAGUGACCCCAAGUAUGCUUAUCCCUACCCUGCUCAAGGUUAUUAUCAAGGACCCCCAGUGAUGGCACCACCACAAUAUGCCGCUCCACCACCAAGGAGACAGCCUGGUUUCCUUGAGGGCUGACUUGCAGCUUUGUGUUGCUGCUGCCUCAUUGAUGAGUGUUGCUGUGAUCCUUCCAUCAUCUACAUCAGCUGAUAAUAAAUCUCUGUAAUAUCACUGCAUCUGUAUUACUA